GGUGCAACAUUAGAUGGGCUGGUCAGGGAAGGCUUCUCUGAUGAGCUGACAUUUGAGCAGGGACAUGCAUGGUAACAGUCUCUAGCCUUAUGAAGCUCAGUAAGAACCACGUCCCUGAGGUUGGAACAAAUGGACAAAAUGAAGAGGAGAAGAUGGCAGAUUGCUUAAUUUCUUGAAAUGUGAUGAUCAAGAACACAGCUUGGAAGUUCAACGGACCGUAAGUUUGAGCCAAGACUGAACCGCAAAGGACACAUUCCUACUUUCACAGAAGUAGAAUCUAUUCCUUCCCUCCUCUUGAACCUGGGCAAGCCUGAGUGAUUUGUUUGGUCAAUAGAGUGGGAUGGAAGUAACGUUCUGGAACAGCUGAGUCCCGGUCAUAAGAAGCCAGGCCAUCUCUCUCUGAGCCUUCUGGAACCAUCACUCUAGGGAAAGUAAGCUACCAAUCAGGAGUCUGAUUACCCUGAGACCACCAUGCUGUAGGAAGCCCAAGUCACAUGGAAAGGCCCUGGAAGAAGACAUGCUAUGUGGAGAGAGAGAAAAAGAGAGCGGCCAAGGAGGACUGAGGCACCAGACGUAGUUGUGCUCUCUCUGGGCCCUGCAGUGAAGUUUUGGCCUGGUGCCUAGAAACACCUCCAUGUUACUCAGAACAAGGCGAGGUGCAAACCAAACCAAUGGCACGGAAGGUCCCUUGCUGCUUCUAGAAUCUGUCCAGCUAUCGCAUCAAAAUCAUGUUCAGCAUCUGUGAAAUUGACCCUCAACUGUGAAAUCAUAUUUUAAUGAUAAAGUGCCAAAAGUGUUCUGCAAGUAUAAGGUGUGUGUCCGUGAUCCCACUCUUCUCUGCACCUCUGCCUGCUCUCCCAAAUGAAGACUGCCCAUCCGGCUCAUCACCUUGGUCCUACCUAGCUUUCCAGGCCAAGUUCAAAUUCUUCCUUUGCAAUGGAACUGAGGACCACCUCAUUGGUCCCAUAUAUCUCUUCUCUUCUUGAUCCAAAUCCCUGCUCAAAAGGAAGAUUAGCCCUGAGCUAACAUCCAUGCCCAUCUUCCUCU